GACGAACCGUACGAACGUUAUUCGGAAUCACUGGGCUUAAAGGGUGCGUAGGCGGCGCAGAAAGUUGGGUGUGAAAUCCCUCGGCUCAACCGAGGAACUGCGCCCAAAACUACUGUGCUCGAGGGAGACAGAGGUGAGCGGAACUUAGGGUGGAGCGGUGAAAUGUGUUGAUAUCGGAAGGAACGCCGGUGGCGAAAGCGACACACUGGAUCUUGUCUGACGCUGAGGCACGAAAGCCAGGGGAGCGAACGGG
rnacentral:rRNA from 1 species